UACGGAAGGCAGCAGUGGGGAAUAUUGCACAAUGGGCGAAAGCCUGAUGCAGCUAUGCCGCGUGUAUGAAGAAGGCCUUAGGGUUGUAAAGUACUUUCAUCGGGGAGGAAAAAACAAAACUAAUAAUUUUAUUUCUUGACGUUACCCGAAAAAGAAGCACCGGCUAACUCCGUGCCAGCAGCCGCGGUAAUACGGAGGGUGCUAGCGUUAAUCAGAAUUACUGGGCGUAAAGAGCACGUAGGUGGUUUUUUUAAGUCAGAUGUGAAAUCCCUGGGCUUAACCUAGGAACUGCAUUUUGAAACUGAAAUACUAGAGUAUUGUAGAGGGAGGUAGAAUUCUAGGUGUAGCGGUGAAAUGCGUAGAUAUCUGGAGGAAUACCUGUGGCGAAAGCGGCCUCCUAAACGAAUACUGACACUGAGGUGCGAAAGCGUGGGGAGCAAACAGGGAUUAGAUACC
rnacentral:rRNA from 1 species